GCAUUAACCAUCAUCAUCUAUUUUAAUCUACAAGUAGAUUUUGAUGUUCCAUUACAUUUUUUAAGCUAGAGUUCAGGAAUAAAUAAUAUUGGAGAAAAGUAAGUUCAUUCUCCAAAUCCAGAAAGCAACAAUAUCACUUCUAACAUAAAUCGGAACAAACGAAAACGAAAAAUUACAAGCAACCAAGAAGAUUGAUUCACCUAGAUGCAACUCAACUAGAUGAAGCAGACUGCAAGUUUUUGCGCUCAGCUGUUACCUUCUGGUCAUCAAAGUAAUCCUGAAGAGCUGUCAUUUUAAUCUUGUUGCAUUUUAAGCUUUUAAUUGCAUCAGCAGUGGCCAAAGCACCUGCAACUGUUGUUAUCACUGGUAUCUUAUAUGCGAGAGCCAUCCUUCUCAGCUUCCGGCCAUCAAUCUGAUCAAGGGCGUCUCCUGAACUUGUGAUCACCAUCAACUGAAUCUGUCCAUUGGCGAUGAGAUCAGCAGCAUGU
rnacentral:misc_RNA from 1 species